CACGCGUCUGUAAUCACAGACGCCCACCUCGCGUCUCCACCCUGUCCUGUAGCAGCAUGGGGACUGUCACUGUCGCACUGUUGCCACAGACCCUUUGGGGAAUGGGAAGGGCUAGGACAAACAUGUUGGUACUCCUUGGUCCAGAAUAUAUUUCUUAAGCAGCCUACUAAGUGUCUGACCUGAGGCUGACCUACGUGAGGAAGGGGCUCCUUGAGGAGGCAAAGAGUGCUCUAGUCACAACUUUGAACUUGGCGCUGGCUUUUGCUGCUUCGGCCAGGGGGCCAGCAUGAUGGGUGGGUAGAGCCACACUUCACACACUGGUGAUGACAAGACAGCCACCCGUGGCUCUCCCCGUGACAAGGGGGCCGGGGGGGUGGGGGGGGGUGGGGAGGCAGCGCCCUCGUCGUUUCCUCCCACCCAGAGGCCAGGCUCCAGUGUGGGCAGACACAGCGGGACAGAGUUGCUUUUAUGGGAAAGCGCGUUUGAGCUUCAAGUUCUUUUAAGAGCCGUAAGGCCACUUUGGGUUUUAUUUGGCGGUUAGUUAUUUUUACUUAUAUUUACCUAUUUGGGAAUAAAGGGCUGAAUCAGUCCUCUUAACAAGCCAGGAUUCCAACUUGCGGUUAUGUGUAUAAAUAGAAAACCGAGGCUUUCCAGAAGUAAGGCUCCCCGAAACCAGUUUUGUUGACAAAGGGGACGUACUGUCAACCAGCGGUCUGAGCAUCUCGAGGCAUCUGGGAUUCCUGAGUCCCAGACACGCCCCCAGGGCGAUCCAGCUUUAACCCUCCUGCACCAAGGAUGCUGAAAGGAGCCAGGCAGCCAGUGUGUCCAGGAGUCCGCACCGCAGCACAGCCCCCGGCCAGCCACCGUCUGGUCAAGUCAUUAGCCUGCCGUAGCCUCUGCCUCGUCCUCUACGGUGAGGGAGUUGGCCCACGGGAUCUACUAACAGUCGACACGCAAAGCCACGAACGUUGAAUUUGCAAACGCAGAAGUAAUAGAGAUUGGAAUCCUGGCUAAGACCACGAAUUCCUAGAAGCCGAGCUCAUGUCCUUGCUCUUUUCGCUCAACACAUUUAUGCGUUCGUCCGUGAACAUUGGUCCGGCACCCCCUGUGGCCGGGGCCCCUGUGGGGCCACCGUGGAGUGAGUGACAUUCGUCAGUCAGACGAGUCCGUCACCUGUGCAGAAGCUUACGCUCCGUGGGGGUGUGGGAGUGGGGAGGGGAGACAGAUCUUAAUAGAAGAAAUCUGAUCAUUCUGGAGAAUGAUUCUCGCCGGGAAGACAAUAAAACAGGGUAGUGUGAUCGUGUGAAAGGCUGGGGGGAACGUGACCAAGUUUAAAUAGUAAUGACAACAUUUAUCGAGUGCUUACUGUCCUAAGCACUUUCCCUGUGUUUCAGGUCAGAGGAGGUAUGACCGCUGCUCUCAUUUUACAGACGAGUAAAGAGAAGCCGGGACUCUGAAGACAUCCCUGAGAGCCAACAACACACAGAGGCUAUAUUCAGGGUUCAAGUUCCGGUGGCAAUGGCUGUGUGUAAUCAGUUUCAAUCCGGUGUUCCCUCUGAUAAAGGACUGACUAGGGCACAGUAGAAGAAAGCCUGGACGCUUAGGGCUGAUUUACUGACAGGGUAGUACUUGAGCUGGGGUUUUGAGGGAUGAAUAGAAGUUCUUACAGAACGUCUCACUAUAGUGGUCGUUGGUCUGUGGUGCCGUAGACAUUGCAGUCUUUUCAGUAGAGCACGUCAUUCUUUGUUAUUCCUUUGUUAUGACACCUGCCUAUAUCAUAAAGCCCUGAUUUUGAGUUCUUUAAGGUAAGGAAUUCUAAAUCUUCCAAAUUAACUCACAUUUUACCCCUAGUUUAUGAUUUCAACACGGAUGAUGACAUCCCUGGACACAUUCUGAGGGCAGGCUGUAUUUUUCCGGGCUGUGCUUUUAAGCCUUGACUUCCGUAAGCUCGUCUCUCCCGCUCUGAGUCUCGGGUUCCUCAAACAUAAGGUGGGGGGUUCAGCCGCACCAGCAAAUGUGAGUUAGAAUCACAACAAAAUCAGCAUCUCGGGGAGCUGAGAGGCCCAGGCAAGGAACCGCGGGAGUGGAAACUGUCCCCUGCCGUGUGUGCCGCGGAAGGCCCGGGGGGGCCGGGGGCCCCCUUCCCAGCUCAGCCAGAGCUGUUCCCGUUUUAUCUGUUUUAUUUAUUGAGCUUUCUUACAACAUCGCGUGGGAAGAAAGGGCUCCACUGCCAAAAACUAAUGUUGGAGAACCACUGGGACACAAGCCUGCUAGGACCCUGCGACUGGCCGUCUGUGGUUCUCUGUGGGGUUCUCCCCCCACGGUCUGGAUCUCGGUACCGUUUCCGCACUCUGUAAAGCGGCCGCCGUCCAGCCCAGCUCUGGCUACCUUUUCGCUGAUAGGUGAGCUAAUCCCCAAACGCGGCAGCAGCGGCCUUACAGCGAGGGUUUCUAUUACCUCGUUAUGAAUUACGGUGGAGUGCCCUGGUGAAGGGUCGAAGGUAUUUGAGAUCCUUUGGGAGCAAAUGCUAGAUAUUACUAAAACGAGACUCCAUUUAAUAGGUGAUAAAUCUUGAUAUUGUAAGUUUAAUAUAGUUUGAUGGUUGUAAAUCCAGUGAAUCUACUGUAGGAAUUUGCUGUACGUUGCGUUUAUGAAAUAUUUAGUCAGGUGUUUUUAAAGGUACGGCUUUUCUCAUAAGGUACUAAUUUUUAUGGGCUCAGCAAGAAAAUUUCAUACUGGUGUCACCCAUGCUGCCGUUUGUGGGACUUGGAAAUGAAAAAGGAAAAGGCACCGCGGGCUCUUGCUUUUUGUAUUCUAGGAAAGCUCUCCGAACAUUUGGCAGUAAUAGCCAAAUCAAGAAGUAGAUAUUAGUGUAUUUAAGACUAUACUUUAGGAUUAGAAAACGAUAAGACACAAACCACUUAAAAAUAAGCAUACAUUUGAUGUUUAGACCGCAAACACUAGAAAGGAGCAUACGUGUGGGGUUGAAAUACGGCCGCAGUGUGGAUGUUGGGGCGAGCCUACUGGGUUGAUGGCCACGAGGCCUUGAGUACAUCGUAAGCCAUGUGGACUUGUUUUCUAUUGCUGGGCAACAGGUUCACAUAAAUUCGAUGGGUCAAAACAGUACACAUUUGUUACCCCUCAGGCUUCUGUGGGUCAGGAGUCUAGGCACAGCUUAGCUGGGUUCCCUGCUUAGGGCUUCACAAGGUCGUGACGAUCAAGGUGUUGCCUGGGCCGUGGUCUCAUCUGGCCUGGGAUCCUUCCAAGUUCACAUGGUUUUUGGCAGGAUUCACGUCUUGCAGGUGCAGAACUUCCGGAAGCUUUCUUCUUCAAGGCUGGUAGGAGAGCUGCCCUCCCCCCCCCACCCCCAGUCUCUUUUCAGGGAAGGCUUGGAUCCUUUUUUUUUUUUUUUUUUUUUUUUUUUUGAGUUCACCCGAUUAGGUCAGGCCCACCAAGGAUGAUGCCCACUUUGAUUAAUUUAAGGUCAACUGAUUAGGGUCCUUAAUUACAUCUGCAAAAUAAUUUCUCCUUGAUCGUAUACCAUAACGUAUGACAGUGACAUCCCGUCAUAUUGCCCACACUCAAGGGGAGGGUGUUAUUUACAGCUUACACACCAGGGGAUGGGAGUCUUAGGGGCCAUCUGAGAAUUCUGCCUGCCAUACCACAGAUGUGACCUUCCGCAAGUUUCUGUACCUCUUGGCGCUUCCCCUUUGAGGGCUGUCAAACGGGGGUGGUGAUUCCUACGUGUCUUGGAAGGAUCUCGGUGGCCUCCGUGAGAGAACGUGGAGUAAGCUGGGGAGCCUCAGGUGCUGUGUGCCAGGUGCCACGGGCAGGCAGGAGGGGCCAGGUGUGGGGGUGCCACUAAUGCCACGGUUCUGCUUCGGCUGACGACACCUCAACAACUCUGUGACUUACCAUAGAAGGGCCAUUCGGUGGGACGGGUUCUCCCCUCCUCCCUGCCUACCCCCUGGCUUCCCGGCACCCCUCCCCCAAACGGUCCCCGUCGGUCACCUUCCAUUUCUCAACCGACGUGACCCCGGCCGGAGGCAGAUAGGGGAAGACACGUUUUUUACGCAGUUGCCGUGGGUCUCCGGCAAGCUAUCGGUCAAACACUGUUUGGAGCACAGAUAACUGCUUUUGCCAUUGUAACCAAAGGCGCACUCCCCGCAGCAGCCGUAAUUACAAAGGCAGGGAAGUGGAGGGAAAAUCCAUCUCAUUUAAAAGUGUUUUAGUGUCAGCAAACACAUUGCGAUGCCAUUAAGAAAGUUUUCGUUAAGGACACGUUGGACUUGAGGUUUUUAAUUUGUUUGAAGUGUUUUGCUAAAACAGAAUUAUGUUGGAGUUUACAUAAAAGUAGAGACUGACAUGAAAAGUUUUAACUUAAGCAGCAAAAUAUAAAGGCUAAUCUUAUUUAAAAGUAAUAUGUAUGUCUUGAUUGAGUGCCCAGAUACGCUCAGCUGGGACUUUUUAGUGGAAUCGGGUCUAAGCUGUUACACUGAGUUAUACCGAGAAGGUUUUCCUGAGCUUAUAUUGCCAGACCUGAAAUACUCUUGUGGCUGCAUUUAAUAAAGAAACGAAAGUCUUGAGUAAGGGGAUAUGAUUUUUUAUGACAGAAGGAAUGCAAAUAACUUUUAGUCUCAUUGCCUUGACCGGGUUCGGUUUGAUUUGAUGGAGUUUAAUAAUGACUUAUAACCUGUGCUGACAAUAUGCAGGCCCGCACAACGUCAUUUAACUCAUUUAUUCUGCUUGCUGUAAAAACAAAGAGAUGGCAAAUAAAUAUAUGGAACGUUCAUUGUUUGUCAGAGGGCCCAAGCCAAGAGUUUUCAGUGACCUUUUAAAAUAUGGUCCCAGGCUAGUACUAAAAUGCCUGUCACUCAGCACACACACUUGACCUUCUAACCUGUGCAUCUUGUGUUUUUUUCUCUUUCAAAUGGGCGUAUGCAUUUCCAAUCAGCUGCAAUAGUUCGGGCUCUUGCAUUGGAGGAUUACUGUAAAUUGCAGCCUGACAAUUACAAUACGCAGGGCACCGGCGAGUUAUUAAUGGGCUCGCCUACUGAUGGCCUUUCAGCGCAGCCUCGGACCUGCUGAGACUCAGCCUAAUUAGAUCCAGGGGUAGCGGCCCCUGUGGAUGAGGCUCCUAUUUACCCUUCAAAGCCUCCGGCCCCCUCCUCCAGGAGACCUUCCAGUGCCUCUGCCCUGGCAUUCUGCCUCCAGAGCCUGCACGCCCACCCACUCCGCUGCAGGGGACGGGGAAGCACCUGAACAUCCGGCCGACCGGCCAGAACCCAGUUUGCACCCCAAGGAAGGGGUGUCACAAGGAGUGAAGGCAGUGCUGGGUUCUGGGGAAGAGCUCGGACCCGGGACGUCUGUUGGGUGCCAGUGCUGGAUGGUUGAAGGGCUAGGAAUGCUGGCCCAGAAGGAUUCCUGAUUUGACAUAAUGUGAUAAGGAAACUCCAGGAUCCCAUCAGCCUACAGCCUACCUUGGUCCGUGAGUUCUGAACAGGUUGGUGGUUGCCCCGUAGCCCCCAAACGGGAAAAUCCAUACACUCCAGCCUCCCCACACACUUCCACUGUCAUGGCCCCAGUCUCCCUGCCCCUGCUCUGUUGAACAAUCGUCCGUCUCCACCUGGGCUGCCCUGCCCAGCUCUCAAGGCAGCCCCUCCUCUGAGAAGCCUUCCUGGAUUCCUCAUCUUGGUAGAACUAUUUCCCGAGUCACAUGUUAUCAGUCUUACUCUGCGUUCCUGGAGCCCUACCUUGAGCCACUGGGGGCUGGGUCUCAGGAUCAUCUCUGUAUGGCCCAGGGCAGCCCCAGGCUGUUGAAUGAGAAAGCAAAACAGAGGAACAGAUCCCAAAGCGUCAUCCACAAGUUUCGGAAGUUAGGUUGCUUGAUUUUUGUUUUUAAUUAGGACUUGGAACUGUUGAAUACUUAUUUGGCAAUGAGUACCUUUAUUAAGUAACUGAUAAGCAUAGUAAUCAAGGGUAUCUUAUUUGGCUGCUGAACAUCUACUACGCUACGGAUUUUGUGGAGGUUGGUGGCUCCUGCCAUGGAGGUGGUACCAGUCCAGGUGGGGAAAUGGUGCACAGAGGCAAACAGAACAACGUAGUGAGAAGAAACUCACACCUGGACCGAAGAGAAAGAGGUGGUUGGAGGUGGGGGAUGGAGACGGAGGGGUGAUGGAGAUGGAUGUAGGGAGAUGGGGGUGAUGGA